CAGUAGCCGCGGUAACACGUAGGUGGCAAGCGUUAUCCGGAAUGAUUGGGCGUAAAGCUUCUGUAGGUGGCUUUUCAAGUCCGCCGUCAAAUCCCAGGGCUCAACCCUGGACAGGCGGUGGAAACUACCAAGCUGGAGUACGGUAGGGGCGGAGGGAAUUUCCGGUGGAGCGGUGAAAUGCGUUGAGAUCGGUAAGAACACCAACGGCGAAAGCACUCUGCUGGGCCGACACUGACACUGAGAGACGAAAGCUAGGGGAGCAAAUGGGAUUAGAUACCCGUGUAGUCCCUGUCUCUUAUAC
rnacentral:rRNA from 1 species